AGGACGUGCAAAAAGCUGGCCAUUCAUGGACUGCAAAGAUCAAUCCGAAUUUGUAGCUUUACACGACUUGGUGAGAGCAUCGAAUUACACGUUUUCUGCGUGGGGAUUUUUCGAAAUCAACAACUCACUCAUAUUUUCGGUGGCUAGCGGCAUCAUCAGUUAUGUGUUCGUUAUCGCACAGUUAAAAUGAAAUAAAAUAAUUGUAUAGUAUUUG